rnacentral:rRNA from 1 species
CGUAGGAGGCAAGCGUUAUCCGGAUUCACUGGGCGUAAAGCGCGUGCAGGUGGCGCGGUAAGUUGGGCGUGAAAUCUCCCGGCUCAACUGGGAGAGGUCGUUCAAUACUACCGUGCUCGAGAGCAGAAGAGGAAGAUGGAAUUCCCGGUGUAGUGGUGAAAUGCGUAGAUAUCGGGAGGAACACCAGUGGCGAAGGCGAUCUUCUGGUCUGUUUCUGACACUCAGACGCGACAGCUAGGGUAGUAAACGGGAUUAGAGACCCCGGUAAUCCUAGCCGUAAACGAUGUGAACUUGGCGUUGGUGGGUUAAACUCCAUCAGUGCCGUAGCAAACGCGAUAAGUUCACCGCCUGGGGACUACGGCCGCAAGGUUA